UUAUAAAAGAUGUAAUCAUAACAGAAAAUUCAUAGUUGUGACUUACUUUACUGCCUCAACAGGAGCUAUUAGAAAAAUUACAAUUAUUUAUGGUUUCUUUAUCUCAGAGUAUUCCGUAGACUGUCCCUCUCACUUUCAAAAUUACACCCACUUUUUCUUUCCUCGUUUCUCUUAUUUAAAGUUUAUCUCAGCUGUGUUCUCUUUUGACUCCUUUAGAUUGCCUUUGUGUGGGUAUUGGAUUCUCUGCUUGGCUUUGAUUUCUUCCUAGUAGCCAAUUUUUAGAGCAAUCCUUUGGUUUCUGUACAAAUGUUGGAUGGUUGGCAGGUGAAUAUCUGUUUCUGGAUCCCUGGAUACAUCACUCUUAUUGGUGACAUCUACUUUUCCAGGAGGAAGAAACUAGUAUUAUUAAAAAUGUUCUUUCUGUCAAUGAAGGUGAUUUUUCAGUAUUGUUUUGUCCUUAAGUGAACAUAAUGAAAGCUAAUGGGGUAUUGUUUUAUUGUUAAUGAAACUGUAAGCCAUUAGUUGCCACAAAAUGUGUUAAUAUCUCCAUCUCAUAAUCAGUGGAAACAUUCCAGGUUAUGUCAAAGAAUCAGAAUCCUACUGAUAGAUAUAAUGAGGAAUUUAUUGUGAGAAUUUGGCGUUAUACAUCUGUGGGAGUUGGUUUUAGUCUAUAUAAAUCUGUUUGGUGUUUGGUGGUAGAGUCUAGAGUUGACAGAGCAGACUGUCAGAAAGGGAAGAUAAUUGUUAGAAAGGCAGAGGAAGGACAAGCAUGAGAACAAACUAAAAUCUUUAUUUUUUCUUUCUCUGCCUCUGAGACUUCAGAUUUGAUAAUGAGGGCAUCAUCUAGAGAAACAUGUUGUCCUUCAUCACAGAACAAAAGAACUACCUGCCAAAUGAGAUCAUUGAGAGCCACAGGGAGCCACAGAAGCCAUAGGAACUGGGUCUAAUGAUGCCCUCACAGUCCUGGUGGGUCAAUGCACAAUUCAUUAUGUGUCCUCGGCAUAAUCAUGGCUCUGCCAGGAGGAUCUUUGACAAUGGAAAUUUCUAGCUGGUAUUAAGGUUUCAGAGGACAGGAGCAGAGGAAACAUGCUAAACUUCUCCACAUGGUUCCAGUUCUAGUAUGUAUGCAGCUGAAGUGAGUAAGGAAAUGUGGCUUUUUAAUAAAUGAUAGCAAUAAAGAUACAUCAAAGCACCAAAGGUAUAGUACAGGACAGAUCUUUUCUUUUUUUCUUUUUCAGAUACAGGGUUGGUAAUUUUCACAUAAAUACUAUGAAAAGAAUGCUGAAGAUUAUACAGGAUGAAGAAAAGGUGUGACCAAGGUUACAAAGAAAAUACUGUCUUUCAUCCAAUCUAAGAGACACUAAUUGUAAAUGUACCAUUAUCUUAAGUACCACUGAAAAUCAAUGAGAAUCAUUCCACAGUGACGUGGUACUUUCUUCUAUCUUGGAACUGUGUACUUCUGGAAUGAUCUCUUUUUGUCUUAAUUUGUUAUAUAAGUGUUCAUAUAUUUAUGUUUUACAUAUGUUGAAAGAAAACACAAGUGAAAAAAAUUCGAUAAUGUAAUCCUAAAACCUCUUUCUAUUCAAUCUAAUUCUUCUGGAUAAACUUUUUGAUGUUUCACACAUGUGUUUCUUUCCUAGCUCUAUAACACUCUAAUAUCAGAUAGUUAGUGGAAACAUUUAUUAAGGAAUCCAUAAAAGAAUUUGAAGCUUGUAUGUUAGAUUAAAAUUGGCUUUUAGUAUGAAGAACUGGAUUUUUCCUUCUUCCUUAGGACUGUUGGUGAACUAACCAAGAUAGCACCAAUCCCACCUCUUCCUUACAACCACUUGUUUCUAGGGAUAAAAUGUAUUCAACUAUCAUAUUCAAGUUUUGGUCCAAGCCAUUAUCACCUAUCCUACCAGUUUUGACUCUGAAACUUCCAUUGCUUGCUUAUGUAUAGGCAAUGACCACUCCAUCCUGACUGGCCAACAGCACUUGUUGCUAUUACUUAGGUUCAGAGAUGGUAAAUUGUGAAAAAAAAUCUGCCUGAAAUACAGUGAGACCUGUAAUUUAAACUCAGAUCCAUAUAAUGCCAAAGUCUAUUAUCUUUUUUUUCUCUAUCCUAUAACUCUUUAAGAAAUAGCAGUCUGUGUAAUUAAAAGCUGAUAGAUUUUAGUGUGAGGUCCUUGCAGGUAUGUUCAGCUAGUACUUCCUUUACAAUAGUAAAAGGAAUAAUAACCUGGAUGUUUCUCACAUCUUGCAGACAAUCAAAGGAAAAUGUUCUUUCUCAAGAAAAGUUUUAAGUACAUUUUGGAGCUAUAAAAUUGUUCUGAACUCAGUGUUCAGAACUAAAGAGUUCUUCAAAAGUGGUUUUGAUUGCAGCUUCCUGUCAAGGUACAGUCUUUCCGUGUGGGCUUCGUAAAUGGAUCUCCUGCUGGUGAAGACAAGGGGGCUGUGUGUCUUCUAUUCUGUGGCAGCCUAACUCCAGCGUCUGCUAGGGAAGCUCCUCACGCUGAGCCAUAGGCUCAGUGGCUCUUCAGGCAGCUCCCUGACUCACAGGGCACUGAACCUACCCAGGAAAGCUAAACUCCAGUGCCUGACUCACUGCACCUGAUUACAUUGUGUCAGCUCUAGUGUUGGAUCUAAGCAUGCUUUUAAGAAUUGGAACACAGACUUGUACUCCUAGAUGUCCACAUUAGAGAUCUAUAUGUUAAAUGUAUGGAACUCCAGCUGCACAAUGAUGAUGAUGAAGAAGAAGAAGAAGAAGAUGAUGAUGAUGAUGAUUUGUAGUGAAUCUGCAAGCAACAUCAGUACAACUUUUAAUAUUUUUUAAAAUAUUUUUCUCUGGAUGGAUGAUUCAAAUGUUGAAAGUUCAAAAGACAGAGAAGCCAAAGCUCAAGACAAAUUUGGUGUUGACGAGGACCUGCUUUCUGGUUUCCAGACAGUACCUUCUUCCUGUGGUCUCACAGGGUGUCAACAACUGUCUUGGCCUUUGUAAUGAAGGACCUCCAAUGGGUGGCCCAUGAUCACAGGGCAUCAUGGUUCUAUCACUUAUUGCACCAUCCAGAAAUGGCUGACCCUGGAAAGCAGUGAAACAACACAGCUGAAAUGCCUGCUCAAAGACCACACUUUAAAAAAUGGGUGUUGUUUUUCCUGUUGCAUAUUUGCAUUAAACCAGACUUUAUAUAGUGCUUUGCUCUGAAGAAUAAAAUGAGUACCAAAAGGUGAAAAGCA